rnacentral:rRNA from 1 species
UACCCGCAGCACAAGUGGUGGUCAUUAUUAUUGGGCCUAAAGCGUCCGUAGCUGGUUUGUUAAAUGCCUGGGUAAAUCGAUGCGCUCAACGCAUCGAACUCCGGGUAGACUGGCAAACUCGAGACCGGGAGAGGUGUAGGCUACUCGCGGGGUAGGGGUAAAAUCCUGUAAUCCUGCGGGGAGGACCAGUGGCGAAGGCGCUACACUAGAACGGCUCUGACAGUGAGGGACGAAGCCCUGGGGCGCAAACCGG